rnacentral:misc_RNA from 1 species
AGCAGCCGCGGUAAUUCCAGCUCCAAUAGCGUAUAUUAAAGUUGUUGCAGUUAAAAAGCUCGUAGUUGAAUUUCGAGAUCAAAUUGUUGGUCGUGCCUUGGUACGCACUGGCAUUAUUGGUUUCUCCCUUCUGACGAACCAUGAUGUCAUUAAUUUGGUGUCUUGGGGAAUCAGGACUGUUACUUUGAAAAAUUAGAGUGUUUAAAGCAGGCUCACGCUUGAAUACAUUAGCAUGGAAUAAUGAAAUAGGACGUUUGAUUCUAUUUUGUUGGUUUCUAGGAUCGACGUAAUGAUUAAUAGGGAUAGUUGGGGGCAUUAGUAUUCAAUUGUCAGAGGUGAAAUUCUUGGAUUUAUUGAAGACUAACUACUGCGAAAGCAUUUGCCAAGGAUGUUUUCAUUAAUCAAGAACGAAAGUUAGGGGAUCGAAGACGAUCAGAUACCGUCGUAGUCUUAACCAUAAACUAU